UUGACAAGCACUUUGAAAAGAGGGUGAAAAGAACCUGAAACCGCUACGGGGGAAGCGAAUUGCGUCGAAUUGAUUGCGGUGUGUUGUUCAGCCCGUUAGGGUGUACUCGACAUUACUGCUUGACCCAUCGUGGGCUUUUGGCGGCCGAUUUUGGGCUGCCGGAGGCUGAGGGCUCCCUGCAAAGGUUGAGGACGAUGGGGCGCCGACGCGACUCGACCCGUCUUGAAACACGGACCAAGGAGUCUAGCGUGCCUGCGAGUCGUAGGGUCUCGAAACCUGAGGGCGCAGUGAAAGCGAUAUUUUCUAGCAAAACGUUGCAGUUUGAGGCGGCAUACGAUCGUUGAUUGUAAGUCCGACCUGGAGCAGGUAUGCUAGGACCCGAAAGAUGGUGAACUAUGCUUGAGUAGGGCGAAGCCAGAGGAAACUCUGGUGGAGGCUCGUAGCGGUGCUGACGUGCAAAUCGCUCGUCGAACUUGAGUAUAGGGGCGAAAGACUAAUCGAACCAUCUAGUAGCUGGUUUCCUCCGAAGUUUCUCUCAGGAUAGCAGGCCGAAUGUUUACGUUGUUGUGUGC
rnacentral:rRNA from 1 species